GUCGACGAUGAUGCCCAGCUUGCUGGGUGGAUUAGUGGCGAACGGGUGAGUAACACGUGAGUAACCUGCCCCUGACUCUGGGAUAAGCGUUGGAAACGACGUCUAAUACUGGAUAUGAUCACUGGUCGCAUGGCCUGGUGGUGGAAAGAUUUUUUGGUUGGGGAUGGACUCGCGGCCUAUCAGCUUGUUGGUGAGGUAAUGGCUCACCAAGGCGACGACGGGUAGCCGGCCUGAGAGGGUGACCGGCCACACUGGGACUGAGACACGGCCCAGACUCCUACGGGAGGCAGCAGUGGGGAAUAUUGCACAAUGGGCGAAAGCCUGAUGCAGCAACGCCGCGUGAGGGAUGACGGCCUUCGGGUUGUAAACCUCUUUUAGUAGGGAAGAAGGGGGCUUCGGUUCUUGACGGUACCUGCAGAAAAAGCACCGGCUAACUACGUGCCAGCAGCCGCGGUAAUACGUAGGGUGCAAGCGUUGUCCGGAAUUAUUGGGCGUAAAGAGCUCGUAGGCGGUUUGUCGCGUCUGCUGUGAAAUCCCGAGGCUCAACCUCGGGCUUGCAGUGGGUACGGGCAGACUAGAGUGCGGU
rnacentral:rRNA from 1 species